AUGGCUCAGAUUGAACGCUGGCGGCAUGCCUUACACAUGCAAGUCGAACGGUAACGGACCUUCGGGUGCCGACGAGUGGCGAACGGGUGAGUAAUGCAUCGGAACGUACCUUUCAGUGGGGGAUAACGUAGCGAAAGUUACGCUAAUACCGCAUAUUCUGUGAGCAGGAAAGCAGGGGAUCGCAAGACCUUGCGCUGAUUGAGCGGCCGAUGUCAGAUUAGCUAGUUGGUGAGGUAAAGGCUCACCAAGGCGACGAUCUGUAGCGGGUCUGAGAGGAUGAUCCGCCACACUGGAACUGAGACACGGUCCAGACUCCUACGGGAGGCAGCAGUGGGGAAUUUUGGACAAUGGGGCAACCCUGAUCCAGCCAUGCCGCGUGAGUGAAGAAGGCCUUCGGGUUGUAAAGCUCUUUCGGCCGGGAAGAAAUCGCAUGGGUUAAUACCCUGUGCGGAUGACGGUACCGGCAUAAGAAGCACCGGCUAACUACGUG
rnacentral:rRNA from 1 species